GACGAACGCUGGCGGCGUGCCUAACACAUGCAAGUCGAGCGAAUGAAGUUCCUUCGGGAAUGGAUUUAGCGGCGGACGGGUGAGUAACACGUGGGCAACCUGCCUCCUAGAGGGGAAUAGCCUUCCGAAAGGGAGAUUAAUACCGCAUAAGAUUGUAGUAUCGCAUGAUACAGCAAUUAAAGGAGCAAUCCGCUAUGAGAUGGGCCCGCGGCGCAUUAGCUAGUUGGUGAGGUAACGGCUCACCAAGGCGACGAUGCGUAGCCGACCUGAGAGGGUGAUCGGCCACAUUGAGACUAGGACACGGCCCAGACUCCUACGGGAGGCGGCAGUGGGGAAUAUUGCACAAUGGGGGAAACCCUGAUGCAGCAACGCCGGGUGAGUGAUGACGGCCUUCGGGUUGUAAAGCUCUGUCUUCAGGGACGAUAAUGACGGUACCUGAGGAGGAAGCCACGGCUAACUACGUG
rnacentral:rRNA from 1 species